UAAGAAGAAGGUUGGGGAUGGUGUGGUAGUUGCUACUGAUUUGCCUUCCAUGUAGGAUGACCAGAUUAAAGUAGCUCCUAAGCAGAUGUUGCAGACCAGAAUGCUUGUAAGAGGAGAUCAACAGAUAGAACAGGAACUUAUUAAAUGCCUUAAUCUGUCACCAGAAGAUCCCACUUGGGAUGAUAGAAGUCUUAUUGAAGGCCAAUUUCCUAAAGUUUCACUUUCUUGAGGACAAGAAAGAGCUAAAGGAGGGGGUAUUGUUACAUAUUA
rnacentral:misc_RNA from 1 species